rnacentral:rRNA from 1 species
AACGCGAAGAACCUUACCUGGGCUCGAACGGCUUAAGAUCGACUGUAGAAAUAUGGUUUUCCCGCAAGGGACUUGAGUCGAGGUGCUGCAUGGCUGUCGUCAGCUCGUGUCGUGAGAUGUUGGGUUAAGUCCCGCAACGAGCGCAACCCUUGUCCUGUGUUGCUAAUCCGCAAGGAUGCACUCUCAGGAGACCGCCAGCGAUAAGUUGGAGGAAGGUGGGGAUGACGUCAAGUCAUCAUGGCCUUUAUGUCCAGGGCUACACACGUGCUACAAUGGACGGUACAAAGCGCGGCAAACCGGCGACGGGGAGGCUAAUCGCAGAAAACCGUUCUCAGUUCGGAUUGCAGGCUGCAACUCGCCUGCAUGAAGCUGGAAUCGCUAGUAAUGGCAUAUCAGAACGAUGCCGUGAAUACGUUCCCGGGCCUUGUACACACCGCUAGUC